rnacentral:rRNA from 1 species
UACGUAGGGUGCAAGCGUUAAUCGGAAUUACUGGGCGUAAAGCGUGCGCAGGCGGUUUGUAAGUCAGAUGUGAAAUCCCCGGGCUUAACCUGGGAACUGCGUUUGAAACUACAAGGCUAGAGUGUGGCAGAGGGGGGUGGAAUUCCGACGUGUAGCAGUGAAAUGCGUAGAGAUGUGGAGGAACACCGAUGGCGAAGGCAGCCCCCUGGGUUAACACUGACGCUCAGGCACGAAAGCGUGGGGAGCAAACAGG